UACGAAGGGGGCAAGCGUUGUUCGGAAUUACUGGGCGUAAAGGGCGCGUAGGCGGCCGAUCAAGUCAGGCGUGAAAUUCCCGGGCUCAACCUGGGGGCUGCGCUUGAUACUGAUCGGCUUGAAGGUGGGAGAGGGUAGUGGAAUUCCCGGUGUAGUGGUGAAAUGCGUAGAUAUCGGGAGGAACACCAGUGGCGAAGGCGACUACCUGGCCCAUUCUUGACGCUGAGGCGCGAAAGCUAGGGGAGCGAACGGG
rnacentral:rRNA from 1 species